CAAUUUUCAGGUUGCAAUAUCAUAAUCCAAAGCUAGGUCUUGUGUUAUCUCUUGCAACGAAUAUUUAAAAGCCUACUGAUCAGUUCCUAUAGCUCCAGUCUCUUCCACUACUUCUCUAAAUCUACCACCACCCCAAAGCACAGCUCUGUUUAUGUUGCCACUUUUUCUUUUUAUUUUCUUCUCCACCUUGACUCUAGUUAAAAACUUAGGUAAUUUUCAGUUGCAUACUGAAUUUCCUAUAAAGUCCUUUACCUAAAUUGCCAUAUCACUUAGUUAUUUUAUUAUGACCCUCGUAAACCACUUGCCUUCACUCACUAGAAUGCAUGCUCUGUAAGGGCAGGGAUCUGUGACCAUUUGCCUGGAUACCCCAACUGCCUGGAGCAUGGGAACAUUCAAUACAAUGUCCAGCAUAAAAGACAGUCUUGAUGACAUUUGCUCUGAGGACCCAAGCUAUGAUUUAUAUUGCACUUUUCUUGUACCUAUCAGAAAAGACUUAAUAUUCUCCUUAGCCAUACAUUCCUCCUAAAUAGAAAGCUCUGUGAAUCAGUGUUGUUCACAUUUGUAUCUUUCACAGCAUUUAGCCCAUUAGCCUAAUAAACAGAAAAUAAUUGUUUAUCGAAAAAAAUGAGUGAGGAUUAUAUGCUGAGAAAUCAUAUACAGUGAAAAUAUUCUUCAUCUUUUUUCCAAUUAUUGUGGCACAAUAACCAUCUAUCAGGGCUAAGUAAACAUAAUUUAUUUCAUUCAGGCUCUUUUAAUUUGAAUUCAGUGCAUCCAAGCAUUUUUAGUUAACAGUAAUCUGGAUGAUCUGUCUUCUCUGACCUGGUUGAAUAUGUUUGAUAUAAACUAUUUUUCAAUCAUAAGAUUGAGCUCUGCCUGGAAGGAGAAGAGGUCAAGAAGCUGCAGGAACACACAAUACAACAGAUGUUCUUUUCUCCUUUAUAGUCACAGAAGACCAUCUUCAUUUUGCAAAAUUAAAGGGUAGAUCCAACACAAAUAUUGAAAAAUUCUCCUAACUUCUUAACCCAACCCCAAAACUUAGGGUUUGAAAAUUGAUUACAGCUGUUCCUUUCUGAUUCUUAGCGGUUUUUUUGUUUUUGUUUUUGUUUUUUUAAUUCCCCAACCUUCCUUGUGGACACAUUGACGCACCAGUGCUCAAGCAGAGCCUCUGCCUGCAGGUGCAUUUACCAUUUGGGGAAUGUGCUGCCCUUGUUUUGUUAGCCUCAGCAUUUUCAAAGACCUCACUUCGCCUGUGGUGCCUGCGCAUACAUCACUGUCCACCUCUUUUGCCUUUUGUAUUUACCGUUGUCUUAUGCUUCAGCGUUUCCGAUGCCCUUGAGAAGCUGUAACCAUGCUUUACAUUUGAAAGGGUGCCAGCUCAUUUAAUCAGGUGGAGUUUGAGAGGCAUGGAUGAAUUUAUUCUAUCUAACAUUUAAUAAAAAAUAAAUUAAAAAUGUGACUUAUGCCAUGACAUGCUUAGCAUUACCCUUCCAGUUUUAAAUUUGAGAGUUGUCAGCACCCUCCCUGGUCUGAAAACUGACAUGUUAUCAAUCUUCUGCGUGGGUGACAAGGCCGCUGAUGUCUUCCCAAGGCACUUGUUUAAUAAUUAAUUUUUCAUCGCAGGCAUGUUCAAUAAAUGGAUUACAAAACGUAAGCCCGUUUAAAAGGUUUUAGAAAUUCAUUAUUAGUUUUAAAAGAUGAAUGUACAAAUUAACUAUCCCAUGAUAAAUGGGGCAUACUAAAUUUAGCCAGGCCCUAUGUGGUUUUAGCCUAUAUUUAUAUACGGUAUAGAGUAAGGUACAAAGUCAGGACAGUUUUGCAGACAAUGUUAUUGAAUCACUGAGGAAGUGAUUUUUUUCAAAGGAGUCUCAGAAAGGGAGAUCAGAUGACAAACUCAUGCUUUGAAGGUUUUAAUCUUUACUCUUGCCCUCAGAAAUCCUCAAACACAAAGCCUCUGGACCCGCUUAGUGCUAUUUCUGGAGUCAGUACCUCAGCUAAAGUUAUUCCACAGAAUAAAAUUAUGAUUUAAAAUGAAAGGAAUAUGAUCAGUUAUCACACCCUAAUUUUCUUGAUUAAACUUCUGUGCUGGUUAUUAUGCUGUUAUCUUCCAGCUCCAGGCUGGCUUUGUGAUUCUUCGGUAGAGGCUCUACAAACUGCAUUUCUUCUUGGCCAGCAGGGUGUGCUAGAGGGAGGCUGGCUGGCCCAGGGAAACUGGGUCUUUCCUGGUUCUUCUUUUUGUUGUCCUUCAGCAAAAGCACUUUACCCACAUAGCAGCAGCAGCCCAUUCCAGGUGGAAAAAAGCAAUCCCCCCCCCCCAUUCAGCAUCCUAGAAUCAGUUUCUUUGCACCCCCUUGGAGUUACCAGUAGUAGCCAGAUAUUAUUUAUAAUUAUGUUACCUCUUUUUUUUUUCUUUUCUCUCUCUCUCUCUUUUUUAAUUUGCCUUUUUCAACCUCCAACAUCUGGUUGACAAUUUCCUGUGUUAAAUUCUCUCUGUUGAAACAACAAAUGUGCUUUGUUUUUUUCCCAACUAGUCUUUGGUUGGUACGAGUGCCAAAGACCAUUAAAAACAAAAAUACAGAGCAAACAACCAAUUUUUCUCUGGUUCCUAAAGAGAUUCUGUAUAAUUGAAUGAUUAGAGAAUUCUCAUCUCUUUUGUUUCAGACCAUUGCAAAUGAUUUACAUGUAAUUAUAAUAUAUAUUACUUUUAAAACUCUAAGAUCAGCAUUCUUACCAAAAUGCCUCACAGCUUAUUAAUUGGUUGAUUCCAUCCCUCCCUCCCUCCCUUCCCAGCUUUCCAAUGUGUGUCUUGCAUUUUAAGCCAAGCUGUGGGGAAGGACAGAAGUAUGACGGUAGCUACAACUCUGAGAAUCAUUUUCCCUCUUAGUUGUUAUACCAGUGAGGAGGUCUGCUUUUCAGUCUCUUGUCUCCCCUCAGAGUUAAGUGAGAUGCUUUAGGUAAAAAGUACAGGAGCUCCCCUCUUCAAGUAAUGUCUUUCAUCAUUGUACUAAAACUUUUGCUUUCUGAAAUGGCUACUUUUACUUCAUAGCCAUGCCUCAGAUUAUUCUGAACAAAGGCUAUGUCAGAAACCUAUCUAACUUAAAUCUUCCUCAAAUGAAAUUAAGCUGAGAACACUGACUGUAAAAUUUAUUGAUACAAAGAAUUAUCUGCGUGGUUUUAUUUUUCUAUAUUCAGCAUGCAAAGUAAGAAUCAGAUAAAUCAGGAAAAUAAACAAAACCAUUUCAUUUGUUAACCAUAUUCCCUGCAUGAUAUAUUUACUCAUUCAUUUUUUUAAUAGAUGCUUCCCAGAUGGCUGCUGUGUGUUACACAACAUACUAAACACUGGUUGAAUAUUUUUUAAUGAGAACUUUAUGUAAUCACUCUUUACUAAAUAAUUACUAAUGUAAGCACUACAGACAAAAGUAUUUCAUGGAGAUGGAAAAUUAUCUGUUGUCCCUAUUAGAGUUCAUUUCAUAGUAAAUCUAAACUUUAGUGUCUAAACUUUAAUAAAAAGCAUUUUCUUUACAGAUAGACAUAGGUAGAUAUAUCCUCCAAUGGUGGACAUGUUUUCUUCUUUGCUGGUCAUUUGCAUUUUCACUAUAGACCAUUCUAGACUUUUUUUGAGUCAAGACUCUUUGUGGCCAGAGACUUUUACUCCAUAGCUGAUUCACAGUCUCAUAAAGAGGCAAGAAUAACAGCAUACCUGGGCCCUAGGAGAUUCUUGAUGAUAAAAUUCAUUGGCCUAUUUUCUCUGCUCUUCUCUCUGUUGUCUUCUGGGGCAUGCAUUUUUAUCAGUUCAGCUUGUUGUUGUGAUUAGUCCAGAGUCAUCCAGAGCUUUAUGUCUGGAAUGAGCCAUUAAUUAGCCAAUGUUUUUGUUCUACCCACUCUAUCCAACUAAGAAUGUCAGGGGGUUGUGAAGUGAAAAGAGAUACUGGCUCUGAAGUUAAAAGAGCUCAUCUUCCAACAGAUGUGUGAUGCUGUAUUAAAUAAUAAAUGGAAUAAUAUCACAAAAGAAAUACAAGAGUCAAAGAAAAAAAGCAGUACUCAGAUGCAGAUAGGCUGGUGCACUGCCAAGGAAAUAAGCAACAUCUAUGAUUGCUUGAUAUACACUUCAAGUUGUCCCACUCCACUGGAGGGGGUGCUUUCAGCAAUAUCGUUAGGUCCCUUGCCAGUACUUGAGGCAGCUACAGUGUCUUUCCCCAUUGUAUCCCAACUCUUUACAUACUCUGUAAAACACAGUAGAUACUCACAAAAUAUUUCAUUAGAUGAUCAAAGCAUUUGUUUUCCUAUGAAGAUAUUAGCUUCCUUUCUUCUCCUGAAUCUCAGGUUAUAAUCUACCUCACUGAUUAAUCAAGAGUCAUAAAAUACAUAUGCAGAGCUCCCUGGUAACGAUUUUGAUAUAUGUUUCUAAAAAUCUAGAGUCUAUGGCUUCUUUCAGUGUUAAGCAGAAACAAAGCUCAUUCUGUCAACUGGAGACUUUAACUUCCAUCAAAUUGGAAAUGGUAAUAAAUGAUAAUAAAAAAGGAUACUUUAUCAUAAUCAUCUAUCUACAUUCUAAAAUACAAAGGUAUGAAACUUCUCAUAAUCAAGGAUUAUUACAUUGCUUUUAGAGGCUUUUACAUUGCUUCUUUCUCAUUUCUAUUUUUGGUUAUGCUAAUGAAACUUAUUACUGUCCUUCAUGAUAAUGCUAGUAUUUUCUGCUAGGAAAAAUAUUUUAUUUGUGAAAGUACGCUUUACUUUACUUCUGAAAUAGAGAUUUUAUUUUGAUUUGGGGUUUUGUUCUUUUGUUUUCAAGUCAACCUCAUUUUUAAUCUUCACUUGAAGUUGAUUCUGAGGCUUGAGUUCAGGUGAAAAUGUUAAUAGAAUUGAAAAACAGUUGGUCAAGUGAAAUUACACUGAAUAAAUUAAAUUUGAGGUAAACUGAAAUAAUAAAGGAUUCUAAGCUUAUUAAAGAAGAGUUAAUCAAAUGUAAGCACUUUUUAAAGCAUGUAACUAGAGAAAGCAAUUUUAUUCUGAAAUCUCUCAUGAUUUUUAUAUGUGUGUGUAUACAUAUAUGUUUUUUCUUACUGAGAGUGAUUUUUGGUAAGACAGCAUUAAUUGUACACAUUGCUCUUGAUCAAAUAUUUCAAAAGAACAUCUAACCUUGUCCUUGUCCACUGCAAUGAGAAAAAAGUGCCUCAUCAUUUUUCUCUUAAUAGUUUAUAGAUAUGAAUGGACUGCCCUUGCAAAAUUUAGUUUACACUGCUGAUGUCUCAUGGGCCUAACUUGAUUUUGUCACUUAUAUAGACAAGUUUUGGACCAUAGACAGGUGCAAAGCAUUGACACACAUAAAAAGAAAUAAGAAAGUAUAUUAUGAACUCUGGUCCGGAUGAUAAUUAUAAUUGGCAAACUGGAGUCAGAGACAUACUAAAAAAGAACAUUAAUAUUGAAAAUAUUUUCAGAUGGUUCCUUCUGGAAAGGAAAAUUAGCAUUAAGCAAUAACAAGAAAACUAAUCUUUAUGGAGAAAUAAAUGCCAGACUUUAUUGUUCGGUAUUCUCUGUAGUGAUCUUAUUCUUGACUAGGAAAAGUACUUCUUUGUUAUGAAAAAAAUGGAAAAUUUUAAUCAAAAUGAGGAUGAAUAGGAGUUGGAAGAUGGUAACUGCAUCAGUUAUUCAAUGGAUAGGAAAAUAUAAAUAAGCACAGAUCUUAGCAUUUUGUUAGAAAUCAAUUGGGGAGACAUUUUCAUUCUUCAGAAAUGUAAAUUUUCUUUGAACAUAAAUGAAGUAUAGCCAUAAAUUUUACUUGGUACUGAAUCUGUAUUUGGUAUUGAUUUGAUUCUCACGUUUGCUUAAUUGUGUCACAACUGCUAUAUUCUUCUGAGGAAAAGGGACAGGAGAGGGAGAUGAUGGGUCCUGCAAUACUGUUGUUGAAGUUUUCACCAAUCCAAGCAUAGCAGAUUCUUGGCGUUUACUGCUUAUAAUUGUUUAAAAUGUUAUUGAUUUAAAACUUUGUCUUAUUUUAUCUCUCGAGAUAUAAGGAUAUACAUGACUAUUAUUUUAAAAUUCCUUCAGUUUAGCCUUUAAAAUUAAUGGCUCAUUCACCCUUUAUUAGCAAAGUUUGUUAGUGAGUUAGAAAACUUGAAAACAGUUAACAGAAAAGCAAAAGAAUACAAAAUAAAAGACAGCACAAUAACUUUUCUUUUAUUGAAAAUAAUUUUUUUAGGAGUUCCUGUUGUGGUGCAGCGGAAAUGAAUCCGAUUAGGAACCAUGAGGUUGUGGGUUCGAUCCCUGGCCUUGCUCAGUGGGUUAAGAAUCCGACGCUGCCAUGAACUGUGGUGUAGGUCACAGACGAGGCUUGGAUCUGGCGUUGCUGUGGCUGUGGCUUAGGCCAGCAGCUGUAGCUCCAAUUUGACUCCUAGCCUGGGAACCUCCAUAUGCCAUGGGUGUAGCCCUAAAAAA
rnacentral:lncRNA from 1 species